AAAAGUAAACAAAUUGUAAUGUUCAGUAAUGUCCUAUAAACACUGAUUAGAGCCUAUAAUACUUACUAUAACAACUUCAUCAUUUGCAAAUUCCUUCCUCCUACCCCAAUGUGUCAAUAUUUUAGGCAGGGGGAAUGAAUCGCCUCAUCAAAUUAAAAUAGUCCUGGGUGCAGUUCUGUCUUUUCGCUUUGAUUUUUAAUUUUUAUUUCUAUGCAUUUUUUGUUUGUUGGCUGGUUUGAGAAAGUCUCACUAUGUAGUCCAGGCUGACCUGGAGUUCACAAUCCUCCAGGAUUCAGGUUUCUGCCACCAAGCUCAACUAACUUCUGCCUUUUCUCCCUCCCUCUAGUUACCUUACCUCCCAUUUCUCCAUCUUUCUAUCUCUAAUAUUCUCCCUCUUUCUUCCAGAAAUUGAACCCAGUGGUGCUACAUCCACUGAGCUACAUCCCCUGCCCCCUUAUUUUAUUUUGAGACAGGGUCUCACUAAAUUUCACAGGCUGGUAUUGAAUUUGCGAUCCUCCUGCCUCUGCCUCCCAAGUAGCUGGGAUCCCAGGUGGUCAUGUGCCAGUCUUCCAGUGGCCUCGGGUUCUUCUUGCUGUCAUAACUGGUCUCCUGGGGCAUCAACAAAGACAAAACAGAGAAAUCCUUCUGUAAAAAGAACAGCAUUUAUCCCCAGUGGCUUCUCACAAGCUUUCAAAGGGAAAAGGUGGAAUGGGUCACUCCUCCUAGAGCGAGUCCAGCCCAUGCUCAGGAUGCGGAGCCAUUGGCCAAGGGAUCCCGGCUCCAGCAGUCCCGCUCCCCUCCGUACCUUAACAAACAUGAAAAACAAGUGCAGUUUCUUCAUGGGCCCCAACUCCACCCUCUCAGGUGGAAAUGUUUCUUUGGAGAUUCAGCGUUUGCAAAGUUUCUCCCACCAGAUGACCAGGGCUGGCCGGGUGUCAGUGACGUGGCCGGUUCCUCUGAGAAACAGCAAAGACUUUGUCACGAAGGUGACUCAGGUAUCAGUGUCUACGUGAAAGGAAGGACUUCUCUCACACUGAGGGCGGUGGCUUUCCGAUCGCGGGUAAGGGCCUCCCCACUACAGCAGCUCUGUCCGCUCCGUCCUCCUGUGCCGCUGCCUGCCGGGUGGGAGGGCUGCUCUCAGUCCGCCCUCUGAGUUCCCUGGGCUUCCGGAAGGGCCCGAGAAGGAGUAAGAGGAGCCGGCGAGGCGAUCGGCGCCCAGGGCGGUGCACUGAGGCCCUGCAGUCUCCGCCCGUGUCACCCUCUGUGAUGCUCCCCGGUGUCCUCGCCGCCGGCCCCAGCAUCACAGCCACACACCUCGGACUCAGCUUCAUCGUCAGGCGCGGGUGGUUUCCCCGCCCUGCAGACGGCAGCAGCGCUGUCUCUCAGCGGAGAGCAGAGAUGGAGGGCAGCGGCCCUCCUGACCCUCCUCCAGGUCCCUGCAGCGGGCCGCGUUCUCUCCUUACGUCCCCUCGGUUCCAGGACACUUGUGCCGGGACCCCCCCCAGCUCCCAAUCUUCUCAAGGACUCCCCUGCGUGCCGCCUCUUUUCUAGCCUCUGAUCCCCUCUCUGUCUCUACUGGACCAUCCUCAUUACUGUAAGAAGAUACUCUCUUCUAGCGGGAAACACGGCAAAAAGCAAAAGGAGCCGGAACUGUGUUUCACCUGAGGCUUCACUUCUGUGCGGCGCCGUGCAGCAAAGGCCCUCGACGGUGCCCUCUUCCUCCCCAUUCUCUGCUCAGCUAGCUCAGCCUCCCUGCAGCUGGGACACAGCUGACACCGCCGCCCGGCAACACUGCUCCGGACGCCGUUCUCGCCACACUGACCAUUCCUUCCACUUUACUUUCCUGGCUCCUCCUCCUCCCAACCUGUCAAUAUACAGGAGUCCUAGGGCUCCGUCCUCCUACACACUCUCCGUGUGCGCGCGCGCGCGCGUGUGUGUGUGUAUGUGUGUGUGUGUGUGUGUGUGUGUGUGUGUGAGAGAGAGAGAGAGAGAGGGGGACUGACUCCCAGAUCGUACCUCCAGCCCUGAGCUGCAUUUGGAUGAGCAGAGGCCUCUCAGCUUUAACAGAACUGGCUACAAAGACGGAACUACGGAACUACGGUUUCUCCGAGCUCCCAAAUCCGAUGCUUCCUUCCCAAGUUUUCUCCAUCUCAGUGCACAGCACCACCAUCUGCCGAGCUACUCGGGCACAGCCAAGGAGUCGUCCUUGAGGCCCUGUCCCUAGUGCCCCAGAUCCAGCCCGUCAGUCA
ensembl:lncRNA